rnacentral:rRNA from 1 species
UAGGGAAUCUUCGGCAAUGGACGAAAGUCUGACCGAGCAACGCCGCGUGAGUGAAGAAGGUCUUCGGAUCGUAAAACUCUGUUGUUAGAGAAGAACAAGGACGUUAGUAACUGAACGUCCCCUGACGGUAUCUAACCAGAAAGCCACGGCUAACUACGUGCUAGCAGCCGCGGUAAUACGUAGGUGGCAAGCGUUGUCCGGAUUUAUUGGGCGUAAAGCGAGCGCAGGCGGUUUCUUAAGUCUGAUGUGAAAGCCCCCGGCUCAACCGGGGAAAGUCAUUGGAAACUGGGAGACUUGAGUGCAGAAGAGGAGAGUGGAAUUCCAUGUGUAGCGGUGAAGUGCGUAGAUAUAUGGAGGAACACCAGUAGCGAAGGCGGCUCUCUGGUCUGUAACUGACGCUGAGGCUCGAAAGCGUGGGGAGCAAACAGG